UGGGGGAUAUUGCGCAAUGGGGAAACCCUGACGCAGCAACGCCGCGUGAAGGAAGAAGGUUUUCGGAUCGUAAACUUCUGUUCUUAGGGAAGAAGAAAGUGACGGUACCUAAGGAGCAAGCCACGGCUAACUACGUGCCAGCAGCCGCGGUAAUACGUAGGUGGCAAGCGUUGUCCGGAUUUACUGGGUGUAAAGGGCGCGUAGGCGGGAUAUCAAGUCAGUCGUGAAAUACCGGGGCUCAACUCCGGGGCUGCGAUUGAAACUGAUAUUCUUGAGUAUCGGAGAGGAAAGCGGAAUUCCUAGUGUAGCGGUGAAAUGCGUAGAUAUUAGGAGGAACACCAGUGGCGAAGGCGGCUUUCUGGACGACAACUGACGCUGAGGCGCGAAAGUGUGGGGAGCAAACAGGAUUAGAUACC
rnacentral:rRNA from 1 species